AUGUUAGUAAGAACUGCUUAUUCCAGGGAUAGGUACAAGUUCAUGUAUAAGUAAGAACUAGACAAAUUUUAUGUUUGCAUGAAAAUUGGGUUGUUUUCGAGAAUAAAAAAGUAACGUUUAGAUAGAUAAAAUGAAAUAAGAACAGUGGAUAGUUAUAAAUAAAAAUAAUGAUAUUACCCCCUCUCAUUAUAUUUGAAUUUGAAUUUUUAAAUUUCAUAUUUAUAUUUUUAAAUUUGAAAUUUUAACUUUUAAAUUUCAAAUUUCAAAAUUAAAUGCGAACAUUCCAAUAAGCAUAAUUU
rnacentral:lncRNA from 1 species